AACUGAUGUACACGAUAUUGUUGUUAUAUCUUUGUUCCUAAUUUUUUAAAAGGGAUUAAGUUACUAAAAUCUGGUGUGCAAACCUAUUAUUUAGGAAGCCUAAAGUUUUAAACUUAGACCCACCUGAACUCAACGGUUCAAGGAAAAUUAAUAAUAACGGUACAUCGGUUUUU
rnacentral:other from 1 species